rnacentral:rRNA from 1 species
GACGAACGCUGGCGGCGUGCUUAACACAUGCAAGUCGAACGGAAAGACCCUGCUUUUGUGUGUUUCUCGAGUGGCGAACGGGUGAGUAUCACGUGAGUAACCUGCCCCUGACUGUGUGGUAACUUCAGGAAACUGGGGCUAAUACCCGAGAGGAGCUCCUGCUGCAUGGUGUGGGUAGGAAAAUUUCGGCGUUUCGGUAUGGUCUCGCUGCUUAUCAGCUUGUUGGUGGGGUUGUGGCUUACCCAGGCUUUGACGGGUAGCCUGCCUGAGAGGGUGACCGGCGACACUGGGACUGAGGUACGGCAGCGACUGCUACGGGAGGCAGAAGUGGGGAAGCCUGACGAAUGGGCGGAAGGCUGAUGCAGCAACGCCGCGUGCGGGAUAACGCUGUUAGGGUUGUAAAACGUUUUUGUAUGUAACGGAGCGCGAGUGACCGUAAUGUGUAAAGAAGCACAGGCUAACUAAGUG